UACGGGGGGAGCAAGCGUUGUUCGGAUUUACUGGGCGUAAAGGGCGCGUAGGCGGCCACCGCAAGUCGACUGUGAAAUCUCCGGGCUUAACCCGGAAAGGUCAGCCGAUACUGCGGGGCUAGAGUGCAGAAGGGGCAACUGGAAUUCUCGGUGUAGCGGUGAAAUGCGUAGAUAUCGAGAGGAACACCUGCGGCGAAAGCGGCUCCUGGUCCAGCACCGACGUUUCAGGCACGAAAGCGUGGGGAGCAAACAGG
rnacentral:rRNA from 1 species